rnacentral:rRNA from 1 species
UACAGAGGUCCCAAGCGUUGUUCGGAUUCACUGGGCGUAAAGGGUGCGUAGGUGGUGAGGUAAGUUCGAUGUGAAAUCUCCGAGCUCAACUCGGAAAUGGCAUUGAAUACUCUCUCGCUAGAGGUUUGGAAGGGGGAUUGGAAUUCUCGGUGUAGCAGUGAAAUGCGUAGAUAUCGAGAGGAACACCAGUGGCGAAGGCGAAUCCCUGGACAACACCUGACACUGAGGCACGAAAGCUAGGGGAGCAAACAGG